UACGAAGGGUGCAAGCGUUACUCGGAAUUACUGGGCGUAAAGGGUGCGUAGGUGGUUUGUUAAGUCUGCUGUGAAAUCCCCGGGCUCAACCUGGGAAUGGCAGUGGAUACUGGCAAGCUAGAGUGCGGUAGAGGGUAGUGGAAUUCCCGGUGUAGCAGUGAAAUGCGUAGAGAUCGGGGGGAACACCAGUGGCGAAGGCGGCUACCUGGACCAGCACUGACACUGAAGCACGAAAGCGUGGGGAGCAAACAGG
rnacentral:rRNA from 1 species